CUACGGAGGGUGCAAGCGUUGUCCGGAUUUAUUGGGUUUAAAGGGUGUGUAGGCGGUGUAUUAAGUCAGUGGUGAAAGCCUGCGGCUCAACCGUAGAACUGCCAUUGAUACUGACACACUUGAGUAUGGACGAGGUAGGCGGAAUUUAUGGUGUAGCGGUGAAAUGCAUAGAUACCAUAAAGAACACCGAUAGCGAAGGCAGCUUACUAGGCCAUAACUGACGCUGAGGCACGAAAGCGUGGGGAGCGAACAGGAUUAGAUACCCUAGUAGUCC
rnacentral:rRNA from 1 species